rnacentral:rRNA from 1 species
UACGUAGGGUGCAAGCGUUGUCCGGAAUUAUUGGGCGUAAAGAGCUCGUAGGCGGCUAGUCACGUCGGAUGUGAAAACCCGAGGCUCAACCUCGGGCCUGCAUUCGAUACGGGCUGGCUAGAGUACUGCAGGGGAGACUGGAAUUCCUGGUGUAGCGGUGAAAUGCGCAGAUAUCAGGAGGAACACCGGUGGCGAAGGCGGGUCUCUGGACAGUAACUGACGCUGAGGAGCGAAAGCGUGGGGAGCGAACAGG